UCUUCCCUCUGGCGGCGUGCCUAAUACAUGCAAGUCGAGCGAACAGACGAGGAGCUUGCUCCUCUGACGUUAGCGGCGGACGGGUGAGUAACACGUGGAUAACCUACCUAUAAGACUGGGAUAACUUCGGGAAACCGGAGCUAAUACCGGAUAAUAUAUUGAACCGCAUGGUUCAAUAGUGAAAGACGGUUUUGCUGUCACUUAUAGAUGGAUCCGCGCCGCAUUAGCUAGUUGGUAAGGUAACGGCUUACCAAGGCAACGAUGCGUAGCCGACCUGAGAGGGUGAUCGGCCACACUGGAACUGAGACACGGUCCAGACUCCUACGGGAGGCAGCAGUAGGGAAUCUUACGCAAUGGGCGAAAGCCUGACGGAGCAACGCCGCGUGAGUGAUGAAGGUCUUCGGAUCGUAAAACUCUGUUAUUAGGGAAGAACAAAUGUGUAAGUAACUAUGCACGUCUUGACGGUACCUAAUCAGAAAGCCACGGCUAACUACGUG
rnacentral:rRNA from 1 species